rnacentral:rRNA from 1 species
UGGGGAAUUUUGGACAAUGGGGGAAACCCUGAUCCAGCCAUCCCGCGUGUGCGAUGAAGGCCUUCGGGUUGUAAAGCACUUUUGGCAGGAAAGAAACGUCAUGGGUUAAUACCCCGUGAAACUGACGGUACCUGCAGAAUAAGCACCGGCUAACUACGUGCCAGCAGCCGCGGUAAUACGUAGGGUGCAAGCGUUAAUCGGAAUUACUGGGCGUAAAGCGUGCGCAGGCGGUGCGGAAAGAAAGAUGUGAAAUCCCAGAGCUCAACUUUGGAACUGCAUUUUUAACUACCGGGCUAGAGUGUGUCAGAGGGAGGUGGAAUUCCGCGUGUAGCAGUGAAAUGCGUAGAUAUGCGGAGGAACACCGAUGGCGAAGGCAGCCUCCUGAGAUAACACUGACGCUCAUGCACGAAAGCGUGGGGAGCAAACAGG